rnacentral:rRNA from 1 species
UGGGGAAUAUUGGACAAUGGGGGGAACCCUGAUCCAGCCAUGCCGCGUGUGUGAAGAAGGCCUUAUGGUUGUAAAGCACUUUAAGCGAGGAGGAGGGUACUGGUAUUAAUACUACCAGGUACUGGACGUUACUCGCAGAAUGAGCACCGGCUAACUCUGUGCCAGCAGCCGCGGUAAUACAGAGGGUGCAAGCGUUAAUCGGAAUUACUGGGCGUAAAGCGCGCGUAGGUGGUUCGUUAAGUUGAAUGUGAAAGCCCCGGGCUCAACCUGGGAACUGCAUCCAAAACUGGCGAGCUAGAGUAGGGCAGAGGGUGGUGGAAUUUCCUGUGUAGCGGUGAAAUGCGUAGAUAUAGGAAGGAACACCAGUGGCGAAGGCGACCACCUGGGCUCAUACUGACACUGAGGUGCGAAAGCGUGGGGAGCAAACAGG